rnacentral:lncRNA from 11 species
GCUCAGCAUCAGAAAGCUCCAAUUAGGAUAGGGGAGAGAUUUGUCCCUCCUAGCAGUAGCCAGCCAGAGUUCGAAUAAAUUGUUGACUCUGCAAAGAGGAGGGCUGACUGAUACUUCAAUACAAGUGCUUACCCUCAUGGAAUAAUAGUACUGGGCAACAGUGAGCUGACACUUCUAGAAGAUGGGACAAUCAUUGAACACUUAUCAGUUAUAUCUGCUGGGUAUAGACCCCGAUUGGGUGGAUGCCCUUCCUGUUCAGGAUCAUUUUCUCAAAAAUACAAGAACUGGAGAAGGUCAGAAAGGCAUGCUUCGCUCCAAGGCAAGCUCCCAUUGCCCGCACCGAAAGCAUCCUUCUCCAAGGACCCAUCUAUUUAGCUUCAGCAGGAAAAGGAAGCCAAAGAGCAGGAAAAAGAGAUGGAAUUACACUCGUCUGCGUGCAGAACAAGGGGCACCAAAUGGCUCAAGCAAAUGAGCCGCACACAUGCUACAUAGAAGCAUUUGGUAUUCAGAACAAAAUAAUGGAUGCUAGAUCUGUCUGAACCGUCACUACUUGAAGGAGAACCGAUGCAUGUCUCUUUGAGGACUGAGGUCUGCUGGAAGGACGGACCAUCCUUUGUCUGCCACCUGUAAGAGCAAUACACUGUGAGGACAUGAGGAAGAAAGCCUCCUCUGCUGUGUCACCAUGUUUCUAGAAUACCCUCUCCACAAAGAUCCAGUAAAUGCCAACAUGGGGUUAACUAUGUUACUGGGUAUAAGCACGACUUUUCAUUAAAGCCUUUGAGCCUAACUGAUUUUUUCCAAAUGUGCAUGUUCACUAUUUUCAACUAUUCUGAUAGGUUUCAUAUUGUUAACAACAUCUAAUAUGUUUUCAGUCUGUUCAAGUUAGUUUUUGUCUUAAUGUUGUAGUUCUCUAAACUGUUAAAAUUGGUCAUAUUAGUACCACCUCAGAUUUUGUGAUAAAUGGUGGGAUAGAAAUAUUUCAAAAACUAAAGAGAAAGCUAAUCUUUUGCUGCAUUUGAUAGUUGAUUCAGUGUGCGUAGGACCAAAUGUGCAUUUCUGCCUAUGUUUCCAAUUGCCUGUGUAAUUACAGAACAUUAGCACGUCAGUGAGAUGCUAUUCCAUGGAAGGUUCCAUUUAAGCUAACAGAGCAAUACCUUUUCAAUAUGGUCAUAACAUAUGAAAUCACUCUCCAGUUUGAUUUCCAAGCUUAGUUCCCUAUCCUGUCUAAAGCUCUGAAAACAUAUGAAUUUCAGAUGAACAUUCACCAGGAAUUAUAUCUAUGAAUUAAUUUGUUUAUUUAGACUCAUUAACCAUGUUGCCUUUGCUAGUUUCUUGGUUGAUUUCUUGCAUUUACAGAAAUUAUCUCUUUGGAGAUUUAAUGCUUUGACUACAAAUGUUCUACAUUGAAAGCUGCACUACCCUGUUCCAGGAUGUGCAUUAAAUAGGAUGAUGCUCAGUAGCAGGUUUAUUACUCCAUUUACAUAUAUUUAAUUUCCUCCCCCUCCUUUCUCUGUACAGGAAGAAUUUCAUGCCUAGAAUGUACUUUCACACAUGCACUAAACAAAUGUGUUCUCAGGCUCUUUAGCAGCAUGACUCUUUCCCUUCUCACUCCCUCACACUCACUCCUUAGAUCCUAAUAGGAUUUGAAGAACUAUUUCUAACACAUUUCUCCUUUCUGCUGGAGCCAGUAGCUUCCCAGACUGAAGCCAAAACAGAUCGUCCAUCUGGUUCCUUUGCAGAGGAUUUGGACUUGGAUGUGGUUGUUUAAAUGUGAUUUCAAUUAACAGCAUCACAACCGCUUUCCUGGAAAAGAUAAAAUUGGCACAGAGCAUCCCUCAUAAGAUAAAUAAAAUAUAAACAGCUUAUACAGUGCCCUGAUCUUAAUAGGAUCCCAAUUCCAAUGAGCCCAUCAAAUCGGUUUCUCUUCAAACAGGGCCUGGAUCAGGUGUGCAUUGCACGUGACUCAAUAGCCAAAUGCAGCCCACAGGACAGGUUGCAUAUUCCUGCCCACUACAAGCGUUUGACAGCUGCCGUUGUCACCUUUUAGAACAAACAAAAAGCCUGCAUUUUCUGAGACAUUUCCCUCUGCAGCCACACUUGUUCAGUGGGCAACAUUCAGCUUGCUGAGUUCUAAGGUACAGAAAUCAUUGAUUCAAAUUUUUCAAACAAAAUGAACUAGUUCAAACAUUUCCUAAUAAUGUGGCUGACUGCUGUUGAAUAUUCAUUCUACCUGCCCAGGUCUCUCAGUAUUUACAAACAUAUUGAUUUAUGCAUUUUGUUCCUCUGACACUGCCAUGUCCAUGACAUUAUUUUCACAAAAAUCAUGUAAGAUCAUUUCCAAGGAAGAGGGAUACGUCACAUUUGUCCACAUCAGCAAAAACAUCAGUAUGUCACUAUGUCAAGGGAUUGAGAGGAUUAUAUGCAAAGAGAACAGUAUUGACAGUCCUGAGCUGUUUGAAGGAAUAUCAGUCUGAUUAAAAAAAAAAAUCUACAUAAAUAGUAGCUCAUAAUGCAUUACCUUCUGAGAGAGUCAGAAAAAACUCUGUUAUAAUUUCAGUUCUCAAGUGCACACUUGGUAAUCCGCCAGAUCCAUGUUCCAGAGUCCUUGCCCUACACUCAAAACAUUACUAUCUAAAUCAUUAAGUACAGGUUUGUCUUUAAAUCCUGCUCUUUUCUGGUAUAGUGUACAACACUGCCUAUGGCACUGAUAAAAUAGCUUUCAAUGAAUAGAUAUUCUCUUCUAUACUUGAAUCAAACUUUUGUUUUUUAUCUCCAACAGCAAAAUAUCUUGGGUUGUCACUGCUUUGCCUAUGUGGAGUGAAAAUUAAAUAUCUUUCAUCCAUUCUAAAGCAACACCAGAGGCACUUCAAGUGGUCAGGUUUUGGUCAAAGGGCAUUUAGUAUAAUUUUGUUCGUGUUUCUAAAUACAUUACAACUGUACUCUCGGUUUCACUUCUGAUACAAUAAAUAAUAAAUCCAUUCUAAAAAUGGCAUAGACUACAUUAAUG